rnacentral:guide_RNA from 1 species
AUAAUAACAAACAAUAUUUAUCUUUGUGGUGA